GACGAACGCUGGCGGCGUGCCUAAUACAUGCAAGUAGAACGCAGUUGCGGACGGGUGAGUGACGCGUAGGUGACUGCCUCAUUGCGGGGGAGAAGUAUUUGAAACGAUGACUAGUAACGCAAACUGUGAGAUGAACCUGCGUUGUAUUAGUUAGUUGGUGAGGUAAAGGCCCACCAAGGCGACGAUACAUAGCCGACCUGAGAGGGUGAUCGGCCACACUGGGACUGAGACACGGCCCAGACUCCUACGGGAGGCAGCAGUAGGGAAUCUUCGGCAAUGGGCGGAAGUCUGACCGAGCAACGCCGCGUGAGUGAAGAAGGUUUUCGGAUCGUAAAGCUCUGUUGUUAGAGAAGCGGUACCUAACCAGAAAGGGACGGCUAACUACGUGCCAGCAGCCGCGGUAAUAC
rnacentral:rRNA from 1 species